CCUUAAACUAAACUUGACCAAAACUGAAAUUCUGGUCUUUCCUCCCUCAAGUGUUGUUACUCCUGUGUCUGUCUCCCUCCAAGUUAACGGUGCUACCAUCAGCUCCACCACGCAGGCUCGCUGCCUAGGUGUUCUCUUUGACUCCGACCUCUCCUUCAAGCCUCAUGUUCAAUUUAUCGCCAAAUCCUGUCAUUUUUAUCUCAAAAACAUUGUGCGCAUCCACCCCUACUUAACGCCAAAUGCAACUAAG